rnacentral:rRNA from 1 species
GAUGAACGCUGGCGGCGUGCCUAAUACAUGCAAGUCGAGCGAACGGACGAGAAGCUUGCUUUUCUGAUGUUAGCGGCGGACGGGUGAGUAACACGUGGAUAACCUACCUAUAAGACUGGGAUAACUUCGGGAAACCGGAGCUAAUACCGGAUAAUAUUUUGAACCGCAUGGUUCAAAAGUGAAAGACGGUCUUGGUGUCACUUAUAGAUGGACCCGCGCUGCAUUAGCUAGUUGGUAAGGUAACGGCUUACCAAGGCAACGAUGCAUAGCCGACCUGAGAGGGUGAUCCGCCACCCUGGAACUGAGACACGCUCCAGACUCCUACGGGAGGCAGCAGUAGGGAAUCUUCCGCAAUGGGCGAAAGCCUGACGGAGCAACGCCGCGUGAGUGAUGACGGUCUUCGGAUCGUAGAACUCUGUUAUUAGUGAAGAACAUAUGUGUUUUUAACUGUGCACAUCUUGACGGUACCUAAUCAGAAAGCCACGGCUAACUACGUG